UACGAGGGGGGCGAGCGUUGUUCGGAAUUAUUGGGCGUAAAGGGCGCGUAGGCGGUGCGGUAAGUCACCUGUGAAAACUCUGGGCUCAACUCAGAGCCUGCAGGCGAAACUGCCGUGCUUGAGUGUGGGAGAGGUGCGUGGAAUUCCCGGUGUAGCGGUGAAUGCGUAGAUAUCGGGAGGAACACCUGUGGCGAAAAGCGACUUUCUGGUCUGUAACUGACGCUGAGGCGCGAAAGCUAGGGGAGCAAACAGG
rnacentral:rRNA from 1 species